UAAUACGUAGGGUGCGAGCGUUAAUCGGAAUUACUGGGCGUAAAGCGUGCGCAGGCGGUUCUCCAAGUCCGUUGUGAAAGCCCCGGGCUCAACCUGGGAAUGGCAGUGGAAACUAGGGGACUGGAAUCUGGCAGAGGGGGGUGGAAUGCCGCGUGUAGCAGUGAAAUGCGUAGAGAUGCGGCGGAACACCGAUGGCGAAGGCAGCCCCCUGGGCUGAGAUUGACGCUCAGGCACGAAAGCGUGGGGAGCAAACAGGAUUAGAUACCCUGGUAGUCCACGCCCUAAACGAUGGCAACUAGGUGUUGGGGAAGCGAUUUCCUGGUACCGCAGCUAACGCGUGAAGUUGCCCGCCUGGGGAGUACGGUCGCAAGAUUA
rnacentral:rRNA from 1 species